rnacentral:rRNA from 1 species
UACGAAGGGGGCUAGCGUUGCUCGGAAUCACUGGGCGUAAAGGGUGCGUAGGCGGGUUUUUAAGUCAGAGGUGAAAUCCUGGAGCUCAACUCCAGAACUGCCUUUGAUACUGAAGAUCUUGAGUCCGGAAGAGGUGAGUGGAACUGCGAGUGUAGAGGUGAAAUUCGUAGAUAUUCGCAAGAACACCAGUGGCGAAGGCGGCUCACUGGUCCGGUACUGACGCUGAGGCACGAAAGCGUGGGGGAGCAAACAGG